rnacentral:rRNA from 1 species
UUUUUGGAGGGCAAGUCUGGUGCCAGCAGCCGCGGUAAUUCCAGCUCCAAUAGCGUAUAUUAAAGUUGUUGCAGUUAAAAAGCUCGUAGUUGAAUUUCGGGGUUCUACCGUUGGUCGGGCAAUAGUCUGUACUGGCGUGUAGAAUUUCUACCUUCUGGGGAACCAUCAUGUUAUUUAUUUAGCGUGGUGGGAAACCAGGACCUUUACCUUGAAAAAAUUAGAGUGUUCAAAGCAGGCUUACGUCUGAAUACAUUAGCAUGGAAUAAUAAAAUAGGACGGUGGUCCUGUUUUGUUGGUUUCUGAAUCACCGUAAUGAUUAAUAGGGAUAGUUGGGGGCAUUAGUAUUCAAUUGUCAGAGGUGAAAUUCUUGGAUUUAUUGAAGACUAACUUCUGCGAAAGCAUUUGCCAAGGAUGUUUUCAUUAAUCAAGAACGAAAGUUAGGGGAUCGAAGACGAUCAGAUACCGUCGUAGUCUUAACCAUAAACUAUG